UACGUAGGGGGCUAGCGUUGUCCGGAAUCAUUGGGCGUAAAGCGCGCGUAGGCGGCCAGAUAAGUCCGGUGUGAAAGUCACAGGCUCAACCUGUGAAUGCCGCUGGAAACUGUCUGGCUAGAGUCCGGAAGGGGCGAGUGGAAUUCCAGGUGUAGCGGUGAAAUGCGCAGAUAUCGGGAGGAACACCAGUGGCGAAGGCGGCACUCUGGGCCAGUACUGACACUGAGGAGCGAAAGCGUGGGGAGCGAACAGG
rnacentral:rRNA from 1 species